GUGCCAGCAGCCGCGGUAAUACGUAGGGUGCAAGCGUUAAUCGGAAUUACUGGGCGUAAAGCGUGCGCAGGCGGUUUUGUAAGACAGUCGUGAAAUCCCCGGGCUCAACCUGGGAACUGCCAUUGUGACUGCAAGGCUAGAGUGCGGCAGAGGGGGGUGGAAUUCCGCUGUAGCAGUGAAAUGCGUAGAUAUGCGGAGGAACACCGAUGGCGAAGGCAAUCCCCUGGGCCUGCACUGACGCUCAUGCACGAAAGCGUGGGGAGCAAACAGGAUUAGAUACCCUGGUAGUCAAGGC
rnacentral:rRNA from 1 species